AAAAAGGCAUUUGUUUGUACGGGUUCACUGACUGGAUUGGUUUAUUGAGGAUAUGCAGAUAAUGGACGCCAUAAGAUCAACUGUAAAUUAUUAGAGGUGGUGCAUGAAAUCCGUCCGAUGAAGCAAGUAGCAGAGAUAGAAGUCCUGUGGUUACAGUGUGAACAAGAAAGGGUUGGAAUCAUGAAAUUUAUAAGCAAUGUAGUGUGCACUGAACUAGUUGAUGGAUAGUUGCAUCAAUGGUAACAACGACAACAAUUGAGCUUUGAUCCCAGAUUAUAUUUUCUUGUUACCUUUCGCCAUGUCCAUUUCUAAGUCACGAUGGUUAGUGAUAGAAAGAACGAACAUGCAACAAGGCCAGAAGGGACAGAGUUGAAGCAAAAAACCCAUCUUUGUAAGACCAACCGUACCAAUUAAUAUUGCAUGCUCAACAGUCGAACUAAAAUUGGCUCUAGUGUACAAAGAUGGGUUGGUCGUAUCUAAUUUGGAGAAUAAUACGACAGAAAAGCUGGUGCAACUGACAUUACAAUUUCCAACAAAAGAUCGUAGUGAGCUAAACUACUAUUAAGAAAAAGACUGCACAUUUGAAUACAAGGAGUGCCAUUUCAUCCUUGGAAACUAUCGUCAGAUGAUAUACUUCCCGCUGCGACAUCAUCUUCAACCUGGAACAAAACAGACUACAGAAAAACAAAAUCAACAUAAUGAAUCAAAAUGAACUUCCGUCAGUUCUCAGUACUAGAUUGUCAGCCAAAUAUACAGUAAAAAUAAAGAUAAAGAGAUCUAAGUACUGGAAGGGAAGGGAAUGUUAGCCUCAGAGAUCUUGGUGGAUAAAAUAUCAUCACUGAUUACUCUCAAGAGUAGCAAAUAUUAUCAUCUACAUCACCAGCCAACGAUUCCCGCCAGUUCGUAUGAUUAAAAAAAGAAGCUAAUAUGAAAUGAAACAAAAACAGAGCAAAAGAAGAGAUGGAGAUGAUGAUAAUGAAGGAGGGUCAGAAGUAGCUGGUUAGUAAUCACUAUUUGAUUCAGUGGGAAUCCGUCUGUUUUUUCAAUCAUCCCCUCCUUCCUUUCAUCCAUCACAGAAACUUAAGUUUGAUACCAUGAAGAACAAAACGAGAAGAAACAGAGAAGUUUGAAUGACUGUAUCGACCUUGUCACCAACAAAUUCCUAGAGUAAAGGAGUGCCGGAGCUAAAGGCAGAAACGCAGUGAACUUGUCAACUGCGCAACCCAUUCACUUUCGCCUGAGGAUAGAUUCCCGUUGGUCUAUCGUAUUAGAUCAGAGAAUUGCAAUUUCAGGCACUCCAAUUUUCUUUUCAAACCCUAACUCAGAAUUGCCAUCCCCAUAAUUACAAAAAACAAAUAAUCGAAAGGGCCGCCGCACUAUACAAAAACUCUCGCUGAACCCUAAUCAAUCAAACCCAGAAAAUCAAGAUACUGAUGUUCAAGCUGCUCGUCUGCUGAUUAUAUAGAGUGGCAGGAACCACCCGAAGAGAGGGAGAACGGAAAAACAGAAACCCUAGCUCGUCAAGCAGCAACCUCUCCAGUCCGGCCUGUGAAAGAAAGCCCAGCCCAGCCCACUCAGCCUGCUGUGCUAUACAAAGUUAAAUGAUGAUUUGGUUACAGAAAAUAUGCCUGUGAUCGGAUUGUUAUCUGGGCAAAGGUAAGUAACUAAACCUCACCGCCGGAAAGUUUGCAGAAAAUUCCCUUCGUUAUCCAAUCCAAGAUUACCUCUUUACCGUUCUCCAUUUUUGCCAUCACUCCCACUGGAGCUGCAAAAAAUGGAAGUAACCGCCUCCAUUCUUACUUCCAUGUCUUCUUCUUGUUCCCCAUCUUCAUCUUCUAGCCAAUGUUACUUUCCCCCAAUCCCUCAGCUCAGAAAUGCUCGUUCCCGCUCAUCAAUUUCUAUACGCAGAACCAACAUCUUCCGUCCAAUCUCGCUGCUUCCAUCUCCUCCCGCUUCCGCCUCUUCUCUGCGCGCUUCUGCCUUCCAGGUGGUUCAAAAUUCGACCACCAUUGCCCCUGAAGCCACCCCGACUGAAGAAGGCGAUAACACCGUUGAUGUUGUGAUGCCCAAGAUUGACAAGAGUGGAAGGUUUUGCAGUCCUCGAGCCGGCCGUGAGCUCGCCCUGUACGUCUCUCCCAGCUCGUUUAGUUUAAUCUCUUUCCUCUGUCUAUGGUCUUUAGUGUUCUAGGAAAUUCCACUGCUUCGUGUCGUCCAUUCUGCUGCUACAUAGGGUUUUAAGUUGGGUUUUAGGAAAUUGUGGCGUCUUUUGAUGUUUGAUGAGGAUUUCAUUGGAGUUAGAAGGAUUUUCAAUUUUGUGUCCUGAUGUGCAUUUUGGAGUUUCAGAAUGAUCACUUAUGCGUCGUGUUUAGAAGGUUCUGAUCCAAUUCGACUGUUUGAGAAGCGAAUGAAUGUAAGGAAAGGUAAUUCCUGGAAGUUGGUCUUUUCACAACUGGUGUUGGGAAUGCUUUGGUUCAAACUUUUGCAGACUGACUUAUUUGUUAUCUUUCUGAAAAUCCAGAGCCUGGCUAUGAGUUCGAUAAGUCGUCAUUAUUGGAAUAUAAUCCCAUGAAUUUUGGUGGACCGCCUGUUACAACCGACACCAUUGAAGAGGCUGAUGAGCUUCUCAGCAGGGAUAACAAAGCAUCCGCCAUUGGUAAAUAUGACCAUAUAUCAUUCUUCUUACUAUAAUAUCACUUUUCUUAUUGUUCAUGCCGUUACUUGCAUAAUUUUGGUUGGUUUUUGUUGUCAGUCUCCAUUUGUCAUUUCCCAUGUAAUUUCCUCCAUUAGAAAUAUGCUGCCUGUUUGUUGUAUUUGUAUCUACUGGCUAUAGGGAAGUGUCAAUGAUAGUAUAUGGGAAUGUCUUCUCUUGCCUAUUUGUAUCCCCAAACUUGAGUUCUUCCUCUUUGGCAAGCAUCUUGUCUCCCAGUGUUACGCCUUCUGGAUUCCUUGCAAUCUGAACAAAAAAGGGUGCUGGAAACUGAUUUUGGGGAAUGAUAGGCCCAACUUUUCGUUCUGACCCUGAGUCUUUCUUAUCGCUUUCAUUUCAGAAGCUGAAGUCCUCUCGGCUCCUCCAAAGUUGGUGUACAGCAAACUGCUUUUGCGGUAAAUGCCUUUUUUGCGCGUUUGAAUCCGAAAAGAUUUAGGAUGCAGUUUUUUUACUUCAUUGUUAUGUGUUAUGACAGUUUCACAAGGAAGCUUUUGGUAGCUGUUGUGGACAAGUGGGACAGUCAUGUACGAGUCAUUGACGAAAUUGCUCCCCCGAAUUGGAAGGUCUGCUUACUUCUACCCUUAUCUUUCCUUGUGUGUAAAGGUUCUGUUCAAUUUCAAACUGUUCCAUCUCCAUAGCAGCUUCAAGUCAACCAUGGGGUUCUAACUGAUGCGUAUUUGAGCAAAUGGCAUAUGAUUUUUAUGAUUACUUUUAGUGAAUUCAGCUUCACACCACAUUUCUCCACAUAAUAGAUGCAGCUAGCUUUACAGGCACUGUCUUUUACUCUGUAAUUGGCAGUGUUUAUAUAGAUAGUUUCAGUAUAAGCACGCUUUAUUAGGUAACAUUAAGGUGAUGGUUUUGUUACUAACUUGUGGAGUCUGACACUCUGAUUUAUCUGCAAAUCUACAUCCUAAUUGAACGGGAUCACAAUUUUCUCCCUUCUUUGUAUUCUGCACAGCUAAACUGUACAUUUCUUGUCCUUACUUUGUCAGAAUGAGCCAGCAAGCAGAAUCUUGGAGCUAUGCAUCCUCCACCUGGCAAUGUCUGAGAUUACAGUUAUUGGAACACGACAUCAGAUUGUCAUUAAUGAGGUACACUGGUUCUUUUCCAAAAAAAAAUUAUGAAGCAAAUUAGGUCAGUUCUUUCCAUUGUUGCUCUUUCACGGUGUUCUUUUUUCUGUGUCCAUGGGCUGUGUCCUUCCAGUUGAGUGCAAACUGCAAAGUAGCAAUCACUGGGAUGGCUUUAGAAUUUCCUGUAGUAACUGAAUUGCAAUGGUAAUGAUUCUGACUCCUGAAAUUAAUGAAGGCUGUAGAUCUCGCUAAACGGUUCUGCGAUGGCUCAGCACCACGGAUAAUCAACGGAUGUUUGAGGACGUUUAUGACGGGUCUAUUUGAAAUUGAUGCGAUUCAAGCUCCAGCUGGUGAUCAGGAUGCCCUAUGAGUAUGACUGAAAAAAAUUCAGUUCAUAGCUCCCCCCAUAUGCUCUAACUAUUGCUUGGGGAGAACACAGAAGAAAACAUCAGUCCCAUCAUAUGACAGAAUUGUGCGGAUAACAAUUGUGCAAGGAGACCUGGUUUGGAGAUGAGAAGCAUCAAGUGGUUCUGGAGUUUCCGCAGGGAGAUUGUGUAUGUUUGUAGCUGGAUUGUGCAUUUUGUUAUAUGUAUAUGAUAGUUCUGUGAUAGCUUGUAUGGAACUGGAAGCUUUUAGAUUGAAUAACUAAUAACACUUCCAUUUUUAAUACUGAUUUCUGUUCUGGUGUGCAAUUGUGCUCGCAGUGCAUAAACGGAAUCUGGCAUGAUAUUAUACAGCAAAAACACAGAAAAUUUAUCAAUGGAUAAAGAAAUUAGUUUACUCGAUGUUUUGCAACAAGGAAAAACUAGAACAUAUACUAAAAUAACUUUCGGCUGCUUCCAUUCUUCAGUUCUUACACAUUCACCAAUUCUCUUCUCCUUCUUUGUUAGGUUUUCAAUACCGACAAGUAAAUUCUUGUUCCGCAAUUAACUAGUUGGUAAUAUUAGUAUUUUUUUAUAGUAAUUUUUUCAAUUUGUUGCCUACUAAUAUUUUUUUUUCGUUGUAGGAUGGAUUACUUGUAUGGACCAACACCAACACCUCCGUGAUUCAACCAUGAACCGAUCGAUGGAGAACUACUUUGGGGCGAGCGCAAUCGACAUCGAGCCGGUGAAAUUUUCGACAAUGAGGUUGGUAUCAUUUGAAUAAUGCGUAGAAAAUAUUAAUAACGGCACAGUGUUAAAUAAUAUUUCCUAGUAAUAAAAAUGCUAGUACUUCAUUAUGCCUAAUGUUAGAAAAUAUUAAUACUUGUUUAUGCCUAAUGUUAGAGAGAAUUAGUGUGCUUAUCCCUAAUUUUAGAAAAUAUUAAUAGUUGUCUAAUAUUAUGUUAGAUACUAAUAAGAAAUGUAUAAUAUUUAAGAUUCAUUAUUUAUUAGUACAUAUUAGGUACUUGUUUAGCGAUGUUAGAUACUAAUAAGAAAUGUAUAAUAUUUAAGAUUCAUUAUUUAUUAGUACAUAUUAGGUACUUGUUUAGCGAUGUUAGAUACUAAUAAUCAUUGCCUACAAUAUCGAAUAUAAACCUAGCAUUACCCUCUCAUGCCGUAGGACGUCUCACAUCCCCCAUAUCAUCCCACUUUCGCCAAUUAUUAGAAACAAUUAGAGAGUUUGCAACAGCUGUUGGACAUUAUUAAACAGAUGUGUUGCACAUUAUUAUCAGUGAGAAGACAUGUAGCAUAGUCUUAUUGUGUUCCCUACUAAACCAUCAUGCAUCAAUCCCUAAAAGAAGACAAUUCCUACAACAAACAUUCUCUUGUGGAACGAACCUGAGCCAAAAUGUUGUAAUAGACAACACUAAAUCUCAAGCCCGCAAAAUCCAAUAACAGGAAACUACUUCUCUGUGUAGCAUAAAAUUACAAAAUUCAAACCAAGAUAAUUAGUAGAAGCUAACACAAACUUCUCGGUUCGGGAUCGAUUUGAACUAUAGCUAGAGUUCAGGGCUUGCCAACAGCUAGCAACAUUAUUCUCCUGUAGUCCUUGUAUAUGAGAACCACUAGACACGAUUUCAAGAACAUGAUAGGCUGAUCCAAUAUUAAAAUGAUGAAGAAUAAAAAGUAAAAAAUAGGAAAAACACCACCUCUGACCUCUCACAGUUGUUGUGAUUUGCAAGCACGGAUUACGUGUCCUUCGUUGAUCUGAGAGCUAGAAUUGGGAGUUUGACGACUGCAACCGUCUGAACGGUGAAGAGCAAUGAGUAUGGAGAAGUGGAUCAUCAUCAAUCCGAGAACCUCACUAGAUAGAAGAUACAAACAACAUCAAGAGGCAGGAAGUGGCUAAAGUUAAAUUCAGACUUGAAAUCACUGAAUCGCAAUUGCAACACUGAAUAACCAACCUAACAUAAAAAAAAGAGGGGAAGGAAACAACAAUCAACAAAGAAGAAAAAUGAGGAGGUGAAGAAGAAAACGGAGGAGGGGAACAGUUAAUUUUCAUUGACGGAUAUAAAGGAUUUCUUAGCAAAAGAAAGGGCAGAAGCUACGGUGCGAUGAAGAUAAAAAGAAGAUGAAGAGCAAUAAUAAAGUUAUGCAAAUGCAGGUAAAAUCGAAAAAGGGAGGUCGUUGGAGAAAAAAAGAUUUUUUUUUGAAAUUUAUUUUUCAGAAGGAUAAAAAAAAAGAAAGGUGGUUGAAAUGUGGUUGACAUGGUAGGUACAUGAGAUUGAAAUAUAUAUUUAGAUUUAUAUUUAAAACAAAUUACCCAAAAUUACCCAAAUAGGGAACCAGGGGCCCAAAUCGGGAACCAGGGGCCCAAAUCUUGGAGCCAUGCAUC
rnacentral:lncRNA from 1 species